GAUGAACGCUGGCGGCGUGCCUAAUACAUGCAAGUCGAGCGAAUGGAUUAAGAGCUUGCUCUUAUGAAGUUAGCGGCGGACGGGUGAGUAACACGUGGGUAACCUGCCCAUAAGACUGGGAUAACUCCGGGAAACCGGGGCUAAUACCGGAUAACAUUUUGAACCGCAUGGUUCGAAAUUGAAAGGCGGCUUCGGCUGUCACUUAUGGAUGGACCCGCGUCGCAUUAGCUAGUUGGUGAGGUAACGGCUCACCGAGGCAACGAUGCGUAGCCGACCUGGGAGGGUGAUCGGCCACACUGGGACUGAGACACGGCCCGGACUCCUACGGGAGGCAGCAGUAGGGAAUCUUCCGCAAUGGACGAAAGACUGACGGAGCAACGCCGCGUGAGUGAUGAAGGCUUUCGGGUCGUAAAACUCUGUUGUUAGGGAAGAACAAGUGCUAGUUGAAUAAGCUGGCACCUUGACGGUACCUAACCAGAAAGCCACGGCUAACUACGUGCCAGCCGCCGCAGUAA
rnacentral:rRNA from 1 species